AAUGAUAUGCCUGAAUAAAAAGGACUAUUUUGAUAGAAUAGAUUAUGUAUAUUAUUUAUACUUUCAUUA
rnacentral:tRNA from 1 species